UACAGGGGGUGCAAACGUUGCUCGGAAUUAUUGGGCGUAAAGCGCGCGUAGGCGGCCGCUUAAGUCGGAUGUGAAAGCCCCCGGCUCAACUGGGGAGGGUCACGCGAUACUGAUCGACUCGAAGGCAGGAGAGGGUAGUGGAAUUCCCGGUGUAGUGGUGAAAUGCGUAGAUAUCUGGAGGAACACCGGUGGCGAAGGCGGCAUUCUGGACCGGUAUUGACGCUGAUGAACGAAAGCCAGGGGAGCAAACGGG
rnacentral:rRNA from 1 species